GACGAACGCUGGCGGCGUGCUUAACACAUGCAAGUCGAGCGGAAAGGCCCUUCGGGGUACUCGAGCGGCGAACGGGUGAGUAACACGUGAGUAACCUGCCCUUCACUUUGGGAUAACCCUCGGAAACGGGGGCUAAUACCGGAUAUGACAUGGGAUCGCAUGGUCUUGUGUGGAAAGUUUUUCGGUGGGGGAUGGCUCGCGGCCCAUCAGCUUGUUGGUGGGGUGAUGGCCUACCAAGGCGACGACGGGAGCCGGCCUGAGAGGGCGACCGGCCACACUGGGACUGAGACACGGCCCAGACUCCUACGGGAGGCAGCAGUGGGGAAUAUUGCACAAUGGCGGAAGCCUGAUGCAGCGACGCCGCGUGAGGGAUGAC
rnacentral:rRNA from 1 species